CAGAGAGUGUGUGCCAGCAGCCGCGGUAAUACGUAGGGGGCAAGCGUUAUCCGGAUUUACUGGGUGUAAAGGGAGCGUAGGCGGCGGAGCAAGUCAGAAGUGAAAGCCCGGGGCUCAACCCCGGGACGGCUUUUGAAACUGCCCUGCUUGAUUUCAGGAGAGGUAAGCGGAAUUCCUAGUGUAGCGGUGAAAUGCGUAGAUAUUAGGAGGAACACCAGUGGCGAAGGCGGCUUACUGGACUGACAAUGACGCUGAGGCUCGAAAGCGUGGGGAGCAAACAGG
rnacentral:rRNA from 1 species